CCCCCCCCCCCCCCCCCAUUACGGAAAUAAUCCUGGUAAAGCGAAUGUAUAAAUCUACUAGACUUUUUAAUAUUAUAAUGAUAGUCAGAUCUAGACCAUAGACAUAAAAUAUAUGAUUUUAAGAGUUUAGACUUAUAACUCUUGAGGGAAAACUGCCUACGUCUACUACAUGUGAAAAUAUUAAAAGUCGUUUGGUCUGUAUUCAUUUCUUUUAAUACUUUGAAAAAUUAAAACAGUCAAACU